GCGCCUGAUUAUGUGGUCGAAGAAUAUGACAUAUCCAUAAAUGGGCGAGAAAUACGUUUUGCGGCUGACAUUUUUCGAGUGCUCGCAAUCGCAGGAGGCGUUCACACAGAAUAUUUUGUGAUCGCCAACAUGCUUUAGCAGCAGACUGUGGGGCCUCUUGUUCAACACCCGGAAAUUGUCGCUGUUGUUGAAGGACACACGAUUCUGGUGCCAGUCGAAGUAGCUGAGAUGCAGAUUCGAUGGCCUCAGCUUCGUUCUGCCCUCGAAAAUGGCCCGCCAGUCUACGCAGCUUGUAGAGUUCUCGAAUCGCGACUCGCGCAGACUCUGCUCCAGGUCCAGAAAGCUGGAGAUCUCUAGACCCUUCUUCGAACGCAUCACCAGGUAGACGACGCAGCUUCUUCUCUCGAUUGGCAAACUGUUGGAGCACCUCAUCUUUGUUGUUCAAGUAGUCUCCAAAAAGUUGGAGUCCUCGUAGUCCCCUUGGCUUUAGAAGCACCAACUCUUUCUCCUUCCGCUGGUAGAAUUGCUCGCGGGUGAGCAGAUUACCCAGGCAAUUCUUACCGCAGGCAUUCUGGAUCAGGUUCCUCUGGAUCUCUUUGUUGCCCAAAUAGCGAGUGUCCUGGAUGGUUAUGAAGCUGUCUACAUAGUCCUGGUAAUGAUUAAAGUUAAUCAGAUUCAUUCCGCGCGAAACUCAAAAAACUAAAACUGAAAAGCUGCUGAAUGGCAAGAAAACUGUGAUUUCGUGUAAAUCAAAAUGUAUAAUAUUUUGAAUAAGUUCGAGCAAAAUACAUUACUGACAACAAACUGCCAACUUUGGCUCAAAAGGCAAAACUUUUGCUGGGCCUGAAGAAGCAGAGUUGUUCUCAUAUUCAAUUUCGAAUGAAAGUAGCUGAGCACAAAAAAUAUUCCUUCUAAUUUUCGAAACUCGUGAAAAAGUCUUAUCUUAAUUGAAAUUUGUUUGAGAAACUGAUAGCCGGAAUGGUUUGUAACAAUUUGUAACAGCUUUAAUUUCAUGUGCGCACAAAUAAUUAAACAUUUCCCACAUAGAGUUCCCUUGGCAGAAUCCGCUGCGCUGUUCGUGUGGCAAAUUUAAUAAAUGGAAAAAGUUUCACAAUGCCCAAGCCCCGACUGUGCCCUUGUCCCUUUUAGCCCAGAACUGUGAGUAUUUUCAAUUACACUUCCCUAUGUGCCACGCCCUCUCCCGCCGCCCAUCAGGGGCAUUUCGCAUAUUAAACUAAUUACUUCAUCAACAUUUUAAACUGCCAGCCAGCCAAAGGGAAAAUUUGCAUUUUCAGCCUGUGCGUAUGCAGCGCUCUUUGUCCUUUUCCGCCUGAUAUCCCGUUGAGCGCACACUGUCGAGGAUUAGCAGUCUAACAAGUGACACCUAGUGUUCCGCACAUCGCCCUAUGAAUCCCAAGGACUUUCAGAUCAGAUCAGAUUUACACAUAAACGGUAACCAGUUGAUGAACUUGCAACGAAUAGUUUAUAGUCAACUAAAAAAUGUACCCAAGUCUAUGAAAUUGUACAGGAUACUGUAACCUGCCUUAAAAAUAAAUCACUUUCAAAGU
ensembl:ncRNA asRNA:CR46069 antisense RNA:CR46069